UCUAAUGCAAUUUUGUUUCUUGUCAUUGCUAGGGACAUGUUGGUGCUGCAAUUGCAUAUGGAGCACUUAUUUUCAAAGGGAAGAAAACACCUGAUAAGAUAGGUCAUUUGGCAGGCAGUGGUAAAGUGACAAGUGAAGCUAGCAGCAAAAUACGUAACAGAUUGUCAAAGAGAACAAGUAUAAGAUCCAUUGAUGAUGCAAUAAAUCAGUUUGAGGUUGCUGCCAAUGCAGGAAAUGAUCUUGCAUUUAUAUGGUUAAAUAGAUUACAUGAACAAGAAGAAAACGAAACCACGGAUUAAGGUAUGUUGGCUUGCUCCUUUCCCAUCUUAUGCUGCAAGAUCAUUAACCUUUUUGAAGGCAUUUGUAACGUAUAGAAUCUGUAGGAGUUCAGAACAGAUGCUUCGAUUUUUCCUUUGUAUACAAGUUAUGGUGCGCUUUUGUUCCAACUACAAAUUGAUGGUCAGACUUUGCUAACAUUGAAUUAUAGUUAUUUUUUGACUUUGAUGAUAGAUCUCACAAUAUCAGCUAAAAUUAUAAUCUCUAUGUAUACAUAAUUGUUUAGCGAGAUUUCUUAACAUGAA